rnacentral:rRNA from 1 species
GCUAAUACCGCAUAAUGUCGCAAGACCAAAGAGGGGGACCUUCGGGCCUCUUGCCAUCAGAUGUGCCCAGAUGGGAUUAGCUUGUUGGUGAGGUAACGGCUCACCAAGGCGACGAUCCCUAGCUGGUCUGAGAGGAUGACCAGCCACACUGGAACUGAGACACGGUCCAGACUCCUACGGGAGGCAGCAGUGGGGAAUAUUGCACAAUGGGCGCAAGCCUGAUGCAGCCAUGCCGCGUGUAUGAAGAAGGCCUUCGGGUUGUAAAGUACUUUCAGCGGGGAGG